CAGACUCUCAAACCUGUUUCCCCACUUGUUUUCAACUUGCGAAUGAGCUGGAUUACUCAGGGGGACACAUGACUUGUCUGACCUUCUCCACCGGCACACGGAGCUCAUUCGGUAGGGUUUGGCCAUUCUUCCGGCAAUCAGCGUCGUAACUCUUCAUCGCUGCUGACCUCUCGAUCAAGCGCUUGAGCUCGGCUUUGGUGGUGUACGGUUCUCCGCGGAUGUUGGUGCAUUUUUCCGAAUUCGCAUUGUACAAUAAAGCUGCAUCUUGGAAAAGUUCAUCGAACGUCUUUUCUCCUUCCAUACAGCCAUCCUCUACCUGCAGUAUGACAAAUCAUUGAAGUUCCCAAGUUAAAGCCAAUGCAACAGUGCCAGUAUUACUAGCAAUAAACUGGCCUAGCAAUGGAAGCGCUAUUUGCACACCAUGUUGAAAGGGUGUUGUGAAGUAGUUAAUGUGAAGUAGUAUUACUAGCGAUAAACUGACCCAACAUUAAUAACCUGGCCCAAAGCGCUGUUUUCACACUUGUUGAAAGGGCGCUGGGGAAGUAGUUCGGUCGGUCUGGCGAUUAACUGGAUCAGGAAGAUCCGCAAUCCUCCGAGAUGAGCCGAAAUGAGCGUGUAACCACUGAAAUAAUAGCUAGUGACCUAUUAUCGGAGCUAAGGAUGCAAUUUCAACCGUUCGGCGAGGUCAGUGAUUCGCUCUGUAAUACACCCUCUGUGUAAUGAGUCCCUUUGUUAAGCUGCCGUAAAACGAGGACACUAUGCUUGAAAGAUACAGACGCGUGAGUUCUGUUUCUUCAUAAAGCCACCACCAAAAAUAUUGUUUAACACAGCUGAACAGCUGAACGAUGACAGGAUGUCAACAAAAAUAAAUAAAAACCUUCAUUUCUUGAUCUGUUAAGCGCAAAAUUUUGAACGUGUCCUCAUUCAUCCGCAGCUUUAAUGAUGGUAUAUUAGCAAUCUUAAAUAAAUGCUUGUUAAACGGC